CCUACGGGUGGCAGCAGUGGGGAAUAUUGCGCAAUGGGCGAAAGCCUGUCGCAGCGACGCCGCGUGAGGGAUGAAGGUCCUCGGAUCGUAAACCUCUGUCAGCAGGGCAGUACGGUCACUGUGCUAAUCAGCAGUGAAUUGACGGUACCUGCAAAGGAAGCACCGGAUAACUCCGUGCCAGCAGCCGCGGUAAUACGGAGGGUGCGAGCGUUAAGUGGAAUUACUGGGCGUAAAGCGCUCGUAGUCGGUAUGGCAAGUCAAGUGUGAAAUCCCCGCGCUCAACGUGGGAACUGCCUGUGAAAAUGGCAAACUGGAGUGUGUGAGAGGAUAGUGGAAUGCCAGGUGUAGGAGUGAAAUCCGUAGAUAUCUUGAGGAACAUCAGUGGCGAAGGCGACUAUCUGGCACAUAACUGACGCUGAGGAGCGAAAGCGUGGGUAGCAAACAGGAUUAGAUACCCGAGUAGUC
rnacentral:rRNA from 1 species